ensembl:lncRNA
UCUGAUCAUCAGUGCACAGAUUCUCAACAGUUAACAUCCCAAAGCCAUAUUGACCAUACUGACAAACUCAGAAGGAAAAGGCCAGGCAUUUUUCUGAGACCCCUGCAAUUAGCAAUGAAGAAGUGUGACAGUUCCACAGGACAGAUACAUUCUGAUUGGAGUUAGCUACAGCUUGCUUUCAAAAGAGCCUAGUGACAGUCGAAGAGAAGACGGGGUAAUUCAAGAUUUAUAUUUGUGAACGAAUUUUGCUCUGAGCAGCUUAGAUUUUGGCAUUACAUCAAAUGACUAGGCCAUUAAUCACAUUUUGAAUAGUUUUUGCUUUUACAUUUUCCUCUUCUGAUGAACAAGGGAAAAGACCCAAGAUGCUUUGUCAAUGACAAAGAUGCAAGUCCCACAUGUAGAUUACUUAGUGAAAGAAAUCCCACAGACAGACAGACUGACUAAUUUAUUUGUGUCCAGGGAAAUUCAGUCCUAAGAUCCCUGAGAAAACCUGUGGAAGGAAAGAUUAUGUUACACUCAAGCGUCCUCCAAGCUUUGAAAAAAUGGCCUGUUUUGGUGUUCAGUGUACGUGAGCAGCCAUGCUGACCCCGCUCAGAGGCAGCAAGACACCAGAACUCUGGUACAAAACUCACUGCGAUUAAGAGAAAGACUGUGACAUCUUGGAAAUGUUUGUGGAGGUGCCUGGGGCAGUUGGCUGCUUAACUGAGAUCUGCACAAGCUUCUGGAGCUGAUGCUCUGGGUGUGCUGAGCUGUUCUGUGGCGUUCCCAAGGGUGACAAACCACUAGCAGUGGGUGUGAAAAUGCAUUUGCAUGAAUGUGUUGACUGAAGUCUCCUUCUCUCCUUCUCAUCUGACUGUGAAGCCAGGCAAUGGCACUGCUCUCAUCAGAGAGGCCCUAGAGAGAGGAAGGUAUGUGAAAGCCAAAGCAAGAGUCAGCUAUUUGCUUAAACUUCUGAAUGUAGUCCUUAUGGUAAACUCGCCUGAAUGAAGAAACACAGCACCUUUGCACUGGAGAAUAAUCCAGCUCAGCUAAACCAGGAAAAAGCCACAGAGAGAAUGCUAUAAUUACGAGAGGCACUGUGCCCCUCACCAAAUCCAGUCGUAGCUGUGGCAUUAAGAAAGUUGUUUCCUCAGUAAACAGAUGGUGGAAACCCACCUCAUGUCUUCCCCUGCCGAAAUGUUGCACUCAGCUGCGAAUCUUCUUUUCCCAUGUACAGUUUGUUUUGCUCAGUUUUUUAUCUGUAUCAGUGGUUCAUUUGCAAUUUCUCUGAAGAGGACAUUACCAUACAUAUGCACACCAAGUGGAAAAAAAUAAAUGUUUUGCUUUCUGGAAACCCCAUGGCUAAGAACAGCCAAAAUGUCAGCUGCCAGUUCGUUUAGACAUGACAAGGCACAUGACUAGACAUGGUACACAGCUGAGACCAAUUCUACUUUCCCUUGUUAUUAUAUAAAUGUCUUCUG